AGUAACUACGCGUUAUGAAAGAUUACUCAAAAAGUAGUUAUCAGAUCUCGAUAAAAUUUAUAUGUGACCACAUGACAAACAUCAGCUUUCGAUUAAAUUAAAAAUUAUUAAAAUCGGUACCCCCAGUAAAAAGUUAUUGCGGAUUUUCAAGAAUUUCCUUCGAUUUCUCUGGGAUCCUAUCAUCAGAUCCUGGUUUCCUUAUCAUGGUACUAAACUAGGGAUAUCCCCUUUCCAACAAAAAAAGAAUUAUCAAAAUCGGUACAUCCAGUAGAAAGUUAUGCGGUAUAAUACAACGUAGGUCGACGAAAAAAGCGUCAAGUAAAAACGCAUUAUUAGAUAUAGCUCGAAAAGUAAUUGUUAGAUCUCAAAUAAAUUUAAAUGGGACCAAUUGGCACACACCAC
rnacentral:misc_RNA from 1 species